UGCCUACGGGGGGCAGCAGUAGGGAAUCUUCCACAAUGGACGAAAGCCUGAUGGAGCAACGCCGCGUGAGUGAAGAAGGGUUUCGGCGCGUAAAGCUCUGUUGGUAGUGAAGAAAGAUAGAGGUAGUAACUGGCCUUUAUUUGACGGUAAUUACUUAGAAAGUCACGGCUAACUACGUGCCAGCAGCCGCGGUAAUACGUAGGUGGCAAGCGUUGUCCGGAUUUAUUGGGGGAAAGGGGGGGGCGGCGGGUUCAAAAAGGU
rnacentral:rRNA from 1 species